rnacentral:rRNA from 1 species
UACGUAGGGGGCAAGCGUUGUCCGGAAUCAUUGGGCGUAAAGAGCGUGUAGGCGGCUUGGUAAGUCCGCUGUGAAAGUCCAGGGCUCAACCCUGGAAAGCCGGUGGAAACUGUCAAGCUUGAGCCCGGAAGAGGCGAGUGGAAUUCCUGGUGUAGCGGUGAAAUUCGUAGAUAUCGAGAGGAACACCGGCGGCGAAGGCGGCCAACUGGACGAGUACUGACGCUGAGACACGAAAGCGUGGGGAGCAAACAGG